UUAUGUUGAGUUCGCUCGCUGCUGCGGUGAGUAGAAGACGCAACACAGCAGUAGCUUUAGAGCGCGUGAGUUAACAAGACAUCUGGUUCGGAUGGGGAGCACAGCCAGGGCUGUCAACUUGGCUCAAAUCGCGCCAUUUUUGACCCUACUUUACUUUAAAUCGCAACUAAUUUUUCAAUUUGGCACGAAGUGCCAAAAUAGCACUAUUGAAAAAAUAUGUAUACAACUGGUUUAUCUUACUUUGGCAUUGGACUUUUGUUUUAGGAAGAUGUUCCUGAUUUUAAUGCUAAAGGAAAAGAAUCGAAAAGAAUGGCACCUUUUUGAAAUUGAAAUAAAUUUUCUUAGGAAGUUGUACUUUUACACAAGAAUCAGAGAGAAUAAUAAUUGUGUAAGCUCACACUGGAGCAUUUGCGAGCAAGAAUGGAAGAAGAAAUUUUGCAAGAACAACGUAAACAAGUUGUACAAGUGUGACGUCAUACAAACAGCGAUUCUGUCAAAUUCAUUAGCGGUAUCGAGAUGGGCGCCACCUUUGUUCUCUACAUCAUGACUUUUACAGAUAAGCAGGAGGUCUAUACUCUGUAUACGGACUAAUACAAAUUCAUAGUGCCAAGCAUUUGAAUUCGAAUGAUUUGCUCUUCGAAUCGUAAUACAGAGUAGACCCCCAGAAAAUUCUCUUUAUACAUAUAUUUUUGACACACAUACAUGCAUAUCGCACACGGUCAUCAAAAGCGACGUAAUUCAAAAUUUAUCAUUGUUGAAAUGAUGCGCUAAAAAUGCACACAGAGCUUUUAUUUACCAUUCCGCAAAAUCUGGAGCAUUUUUUUUUUAUAAUUGCAAAAACCUAAGUUAAAGUCUCCCUUGCCAAUAUGAUUAGCAUGUGCUAAGAAAUAGUUUGUCGCAUUUUCUGACAAACGUGUAAUUUUGAGUUCUGUCACCUUUGAAGAUAGUGUGCGAUAUGCUAGAAUGAAA